rnacentral:rRNA from 1 species
UGCGUAGGCGGAAAGUUAAGUCAGUGAUGAAAUCCUGCAGCUUAACUGUAGAACUGUUAUUGAUACUGAUUUUCUUGAAUUCAGUUGAGGUAGGCGGAAUGUGUAAUGUAGCGGUGAAAUGCUUAGAUAUUACACAGAACACCGAUUGCGAAGGCAGCUUACUAAGCUGAUAUUGACGCUGAGGCACGAAAGCGUGGGGAGCGAACAGGAUUAGAUACCCUGGUAGUCC